UUUCAUAUUUUCCAAUUUAAUGGUUUAUUCUGUUAAAACUUUCCCUUUUAGAGCUCUUCAACAUAAAUUUUCUUCCUUUGUUUCUCUUUAAAUUGUUGAUAUUAUUUUUCUCAUACUUCAUAGACUAUUUUUUUUCUUAUUUAUCGGGUGUUUCAUUAUCAAGUUUGUUUUUUUAAAUUUUUUUCUCAAAUUUCUUCCAGUCCAAUUUAGCAUCUAAAUUUCAUGGUUGAUGUCAUUAUUGUUAGCCUAUUACCCACUAAUUUCAUGGUUAAAUUGAAGACUCUAAACUCUUGUUCAUCUUCUCAUUCAAUUCUCUAGUGCUACUUUCAAUAAAAAUUUUCAGGUUCUCUUCAUCUUCUCAAGCCCCUCACCAUUUCAGAGAUGAUCCAAUACUUUCUGAAGACUCCACAUCAAAGAUGAGGAUCGUAUGGAUAUGUUAACGUCAAUUCCACUAGGAGAACUAUAUUCCUGUUAUUUUUGCAGAAGAUGUAAUUUCCAGUGACAUGCCAAGAAAAAAGGAAUGGUAAGAUUGACACUAAGUACUAAGUACUAAUUAGUAAGUUAUUUUGCCAAACAUUAUUUUGAUGGUUGAUCCGGAAUCAUUGUACAUUCUCAUGUUCAACUAUGCAUUUUAAUUAUUUUUAUUAAUCAAAUUGUUUCCGAGAAUAGAUAGCUUAGCUCAUUUUGUUAAUUUAUGUUAUUUCUUCCUUUUUCGUUUUUUAUAUGGGUUAUAAUCCUGUUGCAUACAUUAAUUUGUUAUUUGAUGUUUGUUCUGUUUUUAUGUGGGUUUGGUCUUUUUAAUUGUGAGGAUGCUAUAUAAUUUUUUCAGCACAUUUUGAACUUAUAUUUUCAAAGUUUGUCCACUCAAGGAUUGUCUACGAUCAGAUUGUGUUUUUGUUAUCCUUACGAAUAUUUUAAGUGAUUAAAAAUUUAAGAUUGGGUAAACCAUUAAUUACGGAAAGGAAAGUGUCAUUGAGCUUCCAUGUGGAGUAAAACGUUCAUCAUGUCAUCCGCUAUGAAGGUUAUGGAGCAAAAAACAUUUGAAUUAUACCUAGGUAAAUACAACCUUUCUUGAGUUAUCUCACUAUGAGUCUUAAACAUUUUUUGUUUUUUUGGUUUAUUAAUGUAGGUUGUAAUAAAGAUCAGGAGUAUAUAAAAAGGUUCUUCUAAUUUCGAAUUUUUCAUCCCUCUGGAAUACAUUUCUUGGUUGCCCAAUGUAUUGCAAAUGACAUAUUUUUUCGAGGAAGGAAUGUAUUUGAGAGGGGAUAGAUUUGUAUCCGAGAGAAAUAGAGAUGUAUCCAAGAGAGGAUUAUAAUAUCAUAAGUUGUAAAUUUAUGUAACUUUUUCAACAAAAUAUGUGAAAUUAUAUCGGGCCCGUAUUACGGGCAUUAAA